UUUUUAUAAUGUGACAGAGUGAUACCUGAUAACUCCUUUCAUUGAACACUCAUUCGAUAGUCCUGCCAGUGCUUAAAAAAACCUGAAAAGAAAUCAUGUUUGGAAAUCCUGUGGUCGUUAAGAAAACCCAUGUGUGGUGAUGGCUUCACAAUCCCCAAUCACUGAUUUCAUCAUGUAUUCCGGUAUUCCCCAUCUUCCAUGUUUUCUGCUGUGCUUGUAACUUGGGAUGUAACUAAGUUUGAGUGAAGUGAAGCCUUUUGGAGCUGGUUAUGGCCGGAAGCCUGUAACUACCCAACACGAGAUCGCUGGGUACUCGCAGUCAAAAAGAACUAUGCAAGUUUCCACGGCAGUUGCAGAUCCCCCAAGAUCUCCUGGCCGUUCCUUGAGCCCAAUUAAAAGCAAGUCCCUGACUAUCAUCAGAUAAAUCAUCAAGGAUCAAAGCAUGGACUUUGGUUGAGACCAGAUAAUUGAGACCCGGAUUACAGAGAGACGUUACCAAUGACUUGUGGAGUUUAUUACCAACAUCGUCAAGACUAAACCUAUUUAUUUAUUAGUGGAGUUCAACCUGCAGACGGGCCGGUCAGUUUGCAUGUCCUUCACGCUUGAAGGUCACGGGGAACAUUCCGUAAAACUGUUAUGCGGUGGUGUAGAGGUUGGGUGAGAAUCGUGCAGUGAUGUAGAGGUUGGGUGAGAACGACAC